rnacentral:rRNA from 1 species
UACGUAGGGGGCUAGCGUUGUCCGGAAUCAUUGGGCGUAAAGCGCGUGUAGGCGGCCCGAUAAGUCCGCUGUGAAAGUCCAGGGCUCAACCCUGGGAUGCCGGUGGAUACUGUCGGGCUCGAGUCCGGAAGAGGCGAGUGGAAUUCCGUGGUGUAGCGGUGAAAUGCGCAGAUAUCAGGAGGAACACCAAUUGCGAAGGCAGCUCGCUGGGACGUUACUGACGCUGAGACGCGAAAGCGUGGGGAGCAAACAGG